rnacentral:rRNA from 1 species
AUACGGAGGGUGCAAGCGUUAUUCGGAAUCACUGGGCGUAAAGGACGCGUAGGCGGGUUGGCAAGUCAGAUGUGAAAUCCUACAGCUUAACUGUAGAACUGCAUUUGAAACUGCUAACCUAGAGUAUGGGAGGGGGAGAUGGAAUUAGUGGUGUAGGGGUAAAAUCCGUAGAUAUCACUAGGAAUACCGAAAGCGAAGGCGAUCUCCUGGAACAUAACUGACGCUAAGGCGUGAAAGCGUGGGGAGCAAACAGGAUUAGAUACCCUAGUAGACC